rnacentral:tRNA from 2 species
UUAAUUGAAACCAAAUAGCGGUUUAUCACUGUUAAUGAUAACAAUGAGUAAAACUCCAAUUAAA